GGAAUAUAAAAACUCGUCUCUUAAUUUUUAACUAAAAAAACUAAGAACCGGCUUUUAAAUAGAUAUUUAAGAACUGAUUCUUAGUUUUUUAGUUAAAAGUUAAGAGACGGGUUCUUAUGUUCC
rfam:Brassica rapa chromosome A7, whole genome shotgun sequence.